GGGCUCGUAGCUUAGCUAGGUAGAGCGACAGGCUCUUAACCUGUUGGUCGGGGGUUCGAAUGUUUGAACAAUUUAAAACCGAGAAUCCCCCCGAGCCCG
rnacentral:tRNA from 1 species